AUCGCUUCUCAGCCUCUUGGCUAAGAUCAAGUGUAGGAACUUGACAACACAUUAAAGUGCAAAGAUUAUUUUUUUAACUUUAUUUUUAAAUUAUUUCAAGCUUAC
rnacentral:snRNA from 2 species